UACGUAGGUGGCGAGCGUUGUCCGGAUUUACUGGGCGUAAAGAGCGCGCAGGCGGUCGUACAAGUCGCGUGUGAAAGCCCCUGGCUCAACUGGGGAGGGUCACGCGAUACUGUUCGACUCGAAGGCAGGAGAGGGAAGUGGAAUUCCCGGUGUAGUGGUGAAAUGCGUAGAUAUCGGGAGGAACACCGGUGGCGAAGGCGGCAUCCUGGACCGGUAUUGACACUGAGGCGCGAAAGCCAGGGGAGCAAACGGG
rnacentral:rRNA from 1 species